rnacentral:lncRNA from 1 species
ACUCUAUCAAUUUCCUGGAGUUCUCAGCACCAGCCAUGGUGUCUCUCUUCUCAGUGUCUUAUUUCAGCCUGCAUCUGUGUUUACAGGAUUACCCUCACCCUCCUCAACUCUCUAACUCCUGCUUGCUUCAUUUACCACUUCCUCGAGGAAACCUUCUGUCACCUUUCCAGGUGGUUACAAUUCAGAUGACUGGAUGGAUUUUACCCAAUAUGACUGGUUUUA